rnacentral:rRNA from 1 species
AUGCAGCUCAAAGUGGGUGGUAAACUCCAUCUAAAGCUAAAUACUGGUGAGAGACCGAUAGCGAACAAGUACUGUGAAGGAAAGGUGAAAAGAACUUUGAAAAGAGAGUGAAAUAGUAUGUGAAAUUGUUGAUAGGGAAGGAAAUGAGUGGAGAGUGGACGAGGUUUCAGUGCCCCCUCGGGGGUACGUACUGCCAACUCCGAGUCAACGUCAGCGAGACGGGGUGUAUAAACGGGUGUCUUCGGGCUCUCACCUACUCCCCCCCACUGCCGUCGUCGACAUAAUCCACCCAUUUCACCCGUCUUGAAACACGGACCAAGGAGUCUAAUGGAUAUGUGAGUGUUAGGGUGGCAAACCCCAGCGCGCAAUGAAAGUGAAUGAUUCGUCCAGAAUCGACCGAACUUGAUUUUUAUGACAGUUUUGAGUAAACACAUCCAUUGGGACCCGAAAGAUGGUGAACUAUGCCUGAAUAGGGUGAAGUCAGAGGAAACUCUGAUGGAGGCUCGUAGCGGUUCUGACGUGCAAAUCGAUCGUAGAAUUUGGGUAUAGGGGCAAAAGACUAAUCGAACCAUCUAGUAGCUGGUUCCUGC